rnacentral:lncRNA from 1 species
UCAUACGUUUAUAAAGUCAGGUAUUCUCCUAUUUUUGAAGUUACUAUGAUAAACUUCUUGAAAACCCAAUUUUUAUCACUUGAUAAUGGUGGAUUUUCUGUACAAUUCAACCGCUGAAGAGGUUGAAGAUGAUAAAAAAAGCCAACCUUUUUCAGACCCUUUAAGCCUACUAUCUAUCCCUGAUUUUGACGAAUUUUCUUUGUCUUUUGCUGAUUCUCUUCUUGAUUUUGAUUCCCUCAGUGAUUUGAUGUCGGAUAGUCCUAUGGCUGAUAGAAAUCAAGAAUCCCUUGAGCUUGAUUCUGUAGAAGUUGAGUUCAGGAGUAAUGAUGGAGUUUCUGAGAAGAGUGAAAUUCAAAUGGAGGACCCUUUGAGUUGUUUGAAUCAAGAACAGAGUCAAAUUGUCCCUGUAAAUUGUUCUGUUAAACCCUAGUAGGGUUUAAGAAGAUUGAUUGCUGAAGUUAAGCGCCCCAAAAAAAUCGCUUACCAAAACUCUCUCAUACGUUUAUAAAGUCAGGUAUUCUCCUAUUUUUGAAGUUACUAUGAUAAACUUCUUGAAAACCCAAUUUUUAUCACUUGAUAAUGGUGGAUUUUCUGUACAAUUCAACCGCUGAAGAGGUUGAAGAUGAUAAAAAAAGCCAACCUUUUUCAGACCCUUUAAGCCUACUAUCUAUCCCUGAUUUUGACGAAUUUUCUUUGUCUUUUGCUGAUUCUCUUCUUGAUUUUGAUUCCCUCAGUGAUUUGAUGUCGGAUAGUCCUAUGGCUGAUAGAAAUCAAGAAUCCCUUG